ACACUGACAUCAAGUGAAACAAGUCCAUCCUUCCUGCCUCCGGAGGCAAGCUGCCAAACAGUUCCAUUAGCAUGCCUCCAGAGGAGCCAGGCCAGGCAAUAACGUUGCUCAUUCUCUGCAAGUCAGAUGGGAGAGUGCUACUGCAACAACGUACCAGAGGACGAAGAACAUCUUACGCUGAUGAACUGUCCUUUCAUGGCAUUUUCAACUGUUUCUGCGUUAUCAUGUGGAGAGAGAAAUAUUCAGAAACACCCCUGGAGUAGACGGAUUAUUGUUUACAUGUGGAUGUAGGCAAAGUAGUGUGACUUGGACCUGAAACCUGAGAUGAAUAAAGAACAAUGAGGCUGAGGAACCAAACACACACGCAGCCGAGCCAACGGUGUACAUAGAUCAGACUAACAUCAUCGCCCUCUCACAGCUCAGUCAGCCA